AUGGUUCAAUUUGCAAAAUACUGGAAUGGCAUUGAACUCAUAAAAGAUGACGAGGAUUUCGAUCAAAGAAACGUAGAUGUCGAGUGGAAACCAGAGUUCCUUUUUAUAGCCAUAUUUGGUGAGACAAACCAAGUAAAGUGGGAGCAACUACCUGGAAGAAUCAAAGAAUUCAAACCAGAAACUUCAAAGUUCUUUUCCACCAACAAAGCAAAGAAUCAGCUCGUUCCCAUGUAUCUCAAGGAAAAUCAACGGAAAAAGCUCUCAACAGCAAACAUGCAACAAGUAUUUUGUACGCAAAUAUUCAUUCCAAUGGAGAAGCAUGACCGCUAUGUACUAUAUGUGCUGGACAAAUACAAACACAAAGUUCACAUUAUUGAUCCUCGAGAAACGACUCACGAGGAAUUUGAGAAAGAAAAGAUAGACAUUGGAAAAUUGAAUCAAAAAGAAGCAUGUCGAGUUCUUCAGGAAAAUGAAGAUGCUAAAGAAGAAAGAGAAAGACAGUUUUAG
rnacentral:rRNA from 1 species